ACAGCUCAGUCAGUAGAGCAUGAGAUUCAAUCUGAGGGUCAUGGGUUCAAGCCCCAUGUGGGGUG